UACAGAGGGGGCAAGCGUUAUCCGGAUUCACUGGGUUUAAAGGGUGCGUAGGCGGGUAAGUAAGUCCGUGGUGAAAUCUCUGAGCUUAACUCAGAAACUGCCGUGGAUACUAUUUGCCUUGAAUAUUGUGGAGGUGAGCGGAAUAUGUCAUGUAGCGGUGAAAUGCUUAGAUAUGACAUAGAACACCAAUUGCGAAGGCAGCUCACUACACAAUCAUUGACGCUGAGGCACGGAAGCGUGGGGAUCAAACAGG
rnacentral:rRNA from 1 species